rnacentral:rRNA from 1 species
CCAUCAGAAGGGGAUAACACUUGGAAACAGGUGCUAAUACCGUAUAACAAUCGAAACCGCAUGGUUUUGAUUUGAAAGGCGCUUUCGGGUGUCGCUGAUGGAUGGACCCGCGGUGCAUUAGCUAGUUGGUGAGGUAACGGCUCACCAAGGCCACGAUGCAUAGCCGACCUGAGAGGGUGAUCGGCCACAUUGGGACUGAGACACGGCCCAAACUCCUACGGGAGGCAGCAGUAGGGAAUCUUCGGCAAUGGACGAAAGUCUGACCGAGCAACGCCGCGUGAGUGAAGAAGGUUUUCGGAUCGUAAAACUCUGUUGUUAGAGAAGAACAAGGAUGAGAGUAACUGUUCAUCCCUUGACGGUAUCUAACCAGAAAGCCACGGCUAACUACGUGCCAGCAGCCGCGGUAAUACGUAGGUGGCAAGCGUUGUCCGGAUUUAUUGGGCGUAAAGCGAGCGCAGGCGGUUUCUUAAGUCUGAUGUGAAAGCCCCCGGCUCAACCGGGGAGGGUCAUUGGAAACUGGGAGACUUGAGUGCAGAAGAGGAGAGUGGAAUUCCAUGUGUAGCGGUGAAAUGCGUAGAUAUAUGGAGGAACACCAGUGGCGAAGGCGGCUCUCUGGUCUGUAACUGACGCUGAGGCUCGAAAGCGUGGGGAGCAAACAGGAUUAGAUACCCUGGUAGUCCACGCCGUAAACGAUGAGUGCUAAGUGUUGGAGGGUUUCCGCCCUUCAGUGCUGCAGCUAACGCAUUAAGCACUCCGCCUGGGGAGUACGACCGCAAGGUUGAAACUCAAAGGAAUUGACGGGGGCCCGCACAAGCGGUGGAGCAUGUGGUUUAAUUCGAAGCAACGCGAAGAACCUUACCAGGUCUUGACAUCCUUUGACCACUCUAGAGAUAGAGCUUCCCCUUCGGGGGCAAAGUGACAGGUGGUGCAUGGUUGUCGUCAGCUCGUGUCGUGAGAUGUUGGGUUAAGUCCCGCAACGAGCGCAACCCUUAUUGUUAGUUGCCAUCAUUCAGUUGGGCACUCUAGCAAGACUGCCGGUGACAAACCGGAGGAAGGUGGGGAUGACGUCAAAUCAUCAUGCCCCUUAUGACCUGGGCUACACACGUGCU